rnacentral:rRNA from 1 species
UGACGAGGAAGUAACGUUCCUUUUCCUUCGGGACAGAGGAGACAGGUGGUGCAUGGUUGUCGUCAGCUCGUGUCGUGAGAUGUUGGGUUAAGUCCCGCAACGAGCGCAACCCUUACCUUCAGUAGCCAGCGAGUAAAGUCGGGCACUCUGGAGGGACUGCCAGGGAUAACCUGGAGGAAGGUGGGGAUGACGUCAAAUCAUCAUGCCCCUUAUGAUUUGGGCUACACACGUGCUACAAUGGCGUAAACAAAGGGAAGCGAAGCCGUGAGGUGAAGCAAAUCCCAAAAAUAACGUCUCAGUUCGGAUUGUAGUCUGCAACUCGACUACAUGAAGCUGGAAUCGCUAGUAAUCGCGAAUCAGAAUGUCGCGGUGAAUACGUUCCCGGGUCUUGUACACACCGCCCGUCACACCAUGGGAGUUGGUAACGCCCGAAGUCAGUGACUCAACCGAAAGGGGAGAGCUGCCGAAGGCGGGACUGAUAACUGGGGUGAAGUCGUAACAAGGUAGCCGUAUCGGAAGGUGCGGCUGGAUCACCUC